AAGGAAAAGAUAACUCAGGCGAUUUUAAGAAAUGAAAAUAUGCAGACAAGAAAAUUAUUUCGUUUAACAGCUCUAAAUAAUUUAUUGAAAUGCUGCAGGUAGGUUUUGUUUGUGUUUAUAGUGCACUAAACGUUGCAAAAGAACAUCUCAAAACAAAUGACAACUCUGCGAAACCAAAAAAUAAAAGUUGUUAUCAAAUACCACGUCCUUCAACUUCAACAGUUCAACUUCAGUUAACCGGUACGCAAAAGAUAUUUGUUCUAUAAAUAGCUGCCUAUAAAUAACUGCCAAGUCACAAAACUUAAGAUACCUACAAGAAUCAUUAUAAUAAUUUAAAAUAAUGAAAUGAUACAGGAAUUUUAAUAAUGAAAUGAUACAGGAAUUUAGGAAUUUGAAUUAUAAAUGAAAUGAUACAGGAAUUUUAAUAAUGGAAUGAUACAGGAAUUAAUAACUGACUAUUCCAUGGGUUUUGCUCAUUGUUGAUAGUUGUUUGUUGACCUAUAAUUGCUUAUGGUUCAUCAGCUGUUCAUUGGAAAAAAUGUUGGAAGGAAUAGAAAAAUAUUAUAAAACAUAAUUUAAUUCUAACUACAGACAAAUCUGUGCACAUCAAUACUAUAUGUGAAAUUGCAAAAAGAUAAAUUGUAUCACGUUUCCCAAGACCUGGAAAACAUGAUGAAAUUUAUGAUUUUUGCAAUUUCACAUAUAGUUUUUGGUAAGGCCACACCAAUUUGAUUUAGAUAGUUCUUUGNNNNNNNNNNNNNNNNNNNNNNNNNNNNNNNNNNNNNNNNNNNNNNNNNNNNNNNNNNNNNNNNNNNNNNNNNNNNNNNNNNNNNNNNNNNNNNNNNNNNNNNNNNNNNNNNNNNNNNNNNNNNNNNNNNNNNNNNNNNNNNNNNNNNNNNNNNNNNNNNNNNNNNNNNNNNNNNNNNNNNNNNNNNNNNNNNNNNNNNNNNNNNNNNNNNNNNNNNNNNNNNNNNNNNNNNNNNNNNNNNNNNNNNNNNNNNNNNNNNNNNNNNNNNNNNNNNNNNNNNNNNNNNNNNNNNNNNNNNNNNNNNNNNNNNNNNNNNNNNNNNNNNNNNNNNNNNNNNNNNNNNNNNNNNNNNNNNNNNNNNNNNNNNNNNNNNNNNNNNNNNNNNNNNNNNNNNNNNNNNNNNNNNNNNNNNNNNNNNNNNNNNNNNNNNNNNNNNNNNNNNNNNNNNNNNNNNNNNNNNNNNNNNNNNNNNNNNNNNNNNNNNNNNNNNNNNNNNNNNNNNNNNNNNNNNNNNNNNNNNNNNNNNNNNNNNNNNNNNNNNNNNNNNNNNNNNNNNNNNNNNNNNNNNNNNNNNNNNNNNNNNNNNNNNNNNNNNNNNNNNNNNNNNNNNNNNNNNNNNNNNNNNNNNNNNNNNNNNNNNNNNNNNNNNNNNNNNNNNNNNNNNNNNNNNNNNNNNNNNNNNNNNNNNNNNNNNNNNNNNNNNNNNNNNNNNNNNNNNNNNNNNNNNNNNNNNNNNNNNNNNNNNNNNNNNNNNNNNNNNNNNNNNNNNNNNNNNNNNNNNNNNNNNNNNNNNNNNNNNNNNNNNNNNNNNNNNNNNNNNNNNNNNNNNNNNNNNNNNNNNNNNNNNNNNNNNNNNNNNNNNNNNNNNNNNNNNNNNNNNNNNNNNNNNNNNNNNNNNNNNNNNNNNNNNNNNNNNNNNNNNNNNNNNNNNNNNNNNNNNNNNNNNNNNNNNNNNNNNNNNNNNNNNNNNNNNNNNNNNNNNNNNNNNNNNNNNNNNNNNUGAACUCUUAAAAGAUUCAGUAAAUUAAGACUUGAGCAUAGACAUCCUUUUUGAUAGACUAUUUUAUUAUCUCAGUCAUAGCAAUUAUUUGAGUAUUUUGCCUUUGUAAUAGAACAAUAAUAAUUAACUAAGAAAUUGUUAUUUGCCAAAGAUGCGGAAAUGUACAGAAAUAUCACAGUCAAGAGUACUACAUACAUGUACAAGUUACUUUUAUUUUAUUUAUUUAAAGAAUUUAUUAGUAAGAUACAUGUACUUUUAAAAAUAUACAUACAACUUUGAUACAAGUGUAUUUUAUUUAAUUUUUCUAAUAUAUUAUUUUAUUGGCUAAUUUAGUUACAUGUAUGUACCAUAGACAUUAAAUUUUUUAACUUAUACAAGUAAAAAAAGUCAAACUAUCUAAAUUUCUUUGAGAUUUUUUUAUCAAACAUGAGUGUCUGUCCUUUACCAUAUGUUUACAGAUGUCAUUAUUCAACAUGUAUGUUUAAUUUUAUCGACAAUGAAAUUUGAAUCUAACAAAAUUUACUUAUAAGUAGACACAAAUAACUUGUACUAGAAGUACCCCUGUACUAGAAGUAACCAUGACUGGUUUCUUGAAAACAAAUGGUUGUUUUUAUAAUGACAUAUUAUUGCAAAAUGACUUAUUAAUUUUAGAUAUAAAUGGUUAAUAUCAAUGCUAGACCCUCACUUCUCACCAUUUACACAGACACCAGUCUUUAGUGUAACCAUCUUAACUGUUUUACCCUGGACAAAAUAGUUUUAAGUUUAUUUAUCAUGUUUAUUUAGCUAAUUAACUAUAUAUAUAUAAAUAUACUCUUUAAACAAAAAGUUCAUAUUUCCCCAUCUCAGAGUUUUAAUUUCAUUCUUGUUAGUUGUUUGUAUUAAGUAAUUAUCAACACAAAUUAUCAUAAUACAUUGUUUGAAAAUUUUAAAAAAAUCAGAUUUAUAUAAAGAAAUAGGAUGAGGUUAAUAACAAUAAAAUUACAGAUGGAAACAAGGAAUGUCACAGAAAAACAACCCGACCAAAGAGUAAAAAUUUAUUUGUGAAAGAAAAAAGUAGCACAACAUGUUUACCGGUACAUGUAUGCAUUGGUAAAAGAGAAAGCUAAUAAAUAAUUAUGACUUUUGAGAAAGAUCUUUGGAAAAAGGGAGAUGGUACAAAUGGGAUAAUCUCUGUUAAAAAGAUAUAAAAAGUACUAGAUUUGGCAACACUAUAUUUGUCUACUAUAAUGCCACUUCUGAAUUUCAUGUUUAAUUGUCGACUUAAUUCCACCAUAUGAUAAUACAAUGUAGAUACUACUUUUUGAAACACUAGUGUGAUUUUGCUGGGAGCAAAUAAAAAGAAAAUUAUGCCUGUCAAUAUUUAUUAUUAAAAAAAGUUCUCGCUUGGCUUUAAUUAAUGGGAAAAAAGUCCUUGCCCUGCUUAAAAAACUUAAGUACACAUAUGAUAUUUUUUUACGAAAUCAAUAAUACAUGUACAUAUAUCAGAGUUGAUAUUUCAACUAAAAUGCAUAUAUAUUUCAAUAUUAUAAAGACUUAAUUUUUGUGAAGGAAGUCAACUUAGGAGCACUGUGAUUGGAUCCAAGGGUACAAUAUUUUUUUUUAUCUAUCUAUGAGUCAUCUGUAGUUUGUAUAUUUCCAAAUUCAAUUUUGAAACCUUUUGAAAUAUCAUAUAAAUAUUCAUUAAUUUGGUGUUAAAUGACCGUGGGCAUCAGACUUCAGUUAUGUUUUUACUUUUUUGAAGCUUAGUACAUUUGAUUUUUAUCACAAAGUAUAGAAAUGUUUCACUGAGAACAUUAAUACUGUUUCGAGAAAAAAGUCCAAAGUCAUCAUAAUACGUCAAAUUGAUGGGUAAAUAAUUAAACUGCACCAAACUGUUGUUCUUUUGUAUUUGUUUUUACCUUUCACAAUGAUUAAUUUAAUUGGAAACUCAAGAAUUCAAGUAGAAACAAAUAUUUUAACUGGGUUAUUUGCCUUAUAUUCAGACAGACAGACAGACAGACUAUUUUAUUUUUUUAUUUUAUAUUUGCUUUGUAAUUCCCUAAAUGUAUCACUUGGAUAUUUCUCUAUAGCCAUAAUCUAUUAAAAUAAGAAAUGUUAAAUUGUCCAUCUAAGAAAAAAAGAGACCAACCUGAGUUGAGGCUUAAUUUGGAUAGAAUUUAUAUUCUCCUGUGUAAAGAAUUGUUCACAUUCUUGGCAAUUCAUUCAGCAAAUAUUUCAAUAUCGCUUCAUUUAGUAGUUUCUAUCUUUUUUUUUAUAUCAGGCAUAUAUACAUUUUUUUCAUUUCAACUGUUUGCAAGGACUUUUGUUGGAGAUUAAUACUCCCAAGGGACAUAAUUCAGCUGUAUCAUAGAUUACGUUGACAUUCUUUUAAUGCUCUAAAAUUUAAUUUUACACAGGUAACUUUUAUCUAAAAUAGGUGAAUCUUCUGGAGUAAACAACAACUUUAAAUGAUAAAUACUACUUCAUAACGUUUGACCUCACGGGUGUAGUAAAAUUUGUUGAUUGAUGCAUGUGGCUAUUCUAGUAAAUGAAUUAAUCUACUAAGCGAGAGCACUUAGCCCUUUUUGAAAGGCUAAUGCUUGUUUAUAAUACAAUUGAAAUUAUUUUCUGUUUACUUUAAGCAUUUGUUUACCAUACGUUAUGCUAUGUUUAAUUCACAUCAUUUUUAGUUUUCAGAUAUUUUAUUUAUUACAGACAAUGCUUAAUAAUAAUGUACUAUAAGCAAUUUAAUAUUAUUUAUGCCCCACCUACAAUAAAAGAGGGGCAUUUUGUUUUCUGGUCUGUGCCUCCGUUCCUUUGUCCGUCAGUUAGUAUGUCUGUGAGUUUGCUCGCACCACUUCAGGUUAAAGUUUUUGAUCAAGGUAGUUUUUUAAGGAAGCUGAACUUGAUACUAAGUACACUUGUUGUUUAUGAUAUGAUCUUUCCAAUUUUCAAGCCAAAUUAAACUUUUGAUCACAAUUUCAUGGUCAACUUUUCAGAGAAAAUGAAAGUGGGAGUUUAAGGUUUAAGUUUUUGGUCAAGGUAGUUUUUGUUGAAGUUGAAGACACAAAAACACACAAAAAUGUAUUGAAGCUCUGUAUUAGGUUUUAUUGGUUUACAUUCAAUUGUGCUUUUUUUUCUUUCAUUUUUUUCACAGAAAUAACAAAUAUGUGUAUAAUAAAUAAGAACAUUUAGACCUAUAAACAUAAUGCAUUCAGAUAAUGUAUAAGUAUAUGAACUAACAAUCAUCCUCAAGUCAUUGAUUUGUUAAAGUGCUGUUAUUCAAUUUGAUUUUAAAAAAUAUAGUUUUAAUCUUUUACACUCUUGAUUUAUGUGAUAUUGUGUCAUAGAAAUGUAUUUGUAUUUAUUGCUCUGAUAAGCAUAAUGUGCUUAAAGUUAUAAAGAAUUGAAUAGAAUUGAAUUGAUUUAAUCAGUGGCGGAUCCAGGGGGGGUUCCGGGGGUGCGCACCCCCCUUUAUUUUUUCACGAUCAAUACAUUUGUAUCGGGACAUGUUUUGCACCCCCCUGCAUCCCCCUUUGCCCUGGGUUAGCACCCCCCCUUUCGAAAAUUCCUGCAUCCGCUCCUGAUUUAAUUGUUUUAAAAUGCACACAUGAAAGGGUUAUUAAAAAAGAGUGCACCCCCCAUAUGUUAGUUAAUCAACUUUUCACCCCACUCAUUAUUCGCCUAAAAAAAUUAUGUGCCCCGUCCAUGUUUGCACUAGCCCAACCCUCAUAUAAAUAUUGCACAGUCCCUUAUAGGCGCUUUAUUCAAAUUAAUUUUCUAUAUUCAACACUAACAUUGUAUAUUAACGGCAUGGGACAAACUGGCUUAAGAAUAUAUUUUUUUGUCAUCUGCUUGACCAUGAUAAUUUUUUUUAAGAAAAAUCAUCCCCCUCCCCCAUCCUAGUGGAUAGUCCCUCACAUAAUUAUCAGUGACUAUAACAAAUGAAUAUUGUCUACCUUUUUUGAAAUAACUGAGUCCCAUCUUAUUAUGCAAAAAGGUUAAUAAACAGGAAAUUUUGUCUGACAUCUUAGCUGCAUGUCGUUCAGACGACAGAGCUAGAAGCUGAUUCAAGGUGAAGGUUGAAACGUUGUAUCAUGUGACAUUUUUUCUGUGUUUGCCAAUCUCGUGAACAUUGACAAACAGACAGAUUGAUUAGACAGAUGGAUAAAUGUAGGAUUUUUAGAGAUUUUCUUCAUUUGUUUUUCAAACAAAGCCUUUUCUAACUUUACCUCCUUAUCCAGGUGAAAAUAGAAAUGGUAAUGUUGCACUUAGGCCAACCAUUUGAUUAGGAGGGGGUGGUGGUUAUAAGUUUGUUUACAGGUUUUGGAGAGAAAAAAAUAUUUGUUUUUGACCAGUAAAUAGGAUAUGUAUGUUGCAUCUUCAUGCAGCUGCCACUAUGACUAUGUGUAAUAUGAUGCUAAAAUUGAAAGAAAACAAAUGGAUUUUGAACUAGUCCCCAAAAAUAUAGAUUGUUUUUGCCAAAGAAAAAAGAUGUUUGUCUUGAAUUGAAAUCCCCCUCCCGAUAAUCAAAAGGUUGCAGCCUCACAAAACACAGCAUAGUUAUUUAUUUAGUCAAUAUUUAUAGUGAAAAGAAAAGUGUCCAUUUCAGUAGCAGAUCUAGAAAUGUUCACAAGAGGGGGUCCACUGACUAACUAAGAGGGUCCCUGCAUCAGUCAUGCUUCAGUGAUUUAUAUAAGCAAUCAAUUUUUCCCACAAAAAGGGGGGGUUCCCUAUGUAAAACCCGCUUAAUCCACCCCUGCUUUUCAAUGAUUUUUUUUUAUUUAUACUUGUAGUGCAUUUCUUAUCAGGGUUCUCUCUAAGGCAAGUCAAUGAGUCCCAGACUCAUCAAAAUCAGUUAAGACUCAUCAUGUUCAAACUUGCAAUUCCAAAGAUGCAUUAAAAUUGUAAAAUUUAUUGUAUAUACUGCAGGAUUGAUCACAAAUUUAUCUCUAAAGUUUAAAUUAAUCUAAAUUAUGUGAAUUUUCCUUGCUCUAGUAUUAUCAAGGGGACUGCAAUUAUGUAUAAUAAAAGUACAAGAAAUUAUAUCACUGUGAAACUGGCUAGAGAAAGUUAAAUGUGAAAAGAAGUAUCUGUGACUAUAAGUUUGUUUACAGAAUAUACAAAAUAAUAAGAGGCAUUAUUGAAUGGUUUGAUUAAAUGACAUUCAAGUGAAAGUAACUUUCUACUAGUCUUGUUAUAUUAGUGAUCUGAAAAGUAUUGUUAGUUAACUUAGUUCUCAUUUUAUGCUAUUUCUUCAGUUUUUCACUGUUAGGCUAUAAGGAGGCCCUAAAAAUGUUCAUUUGUAUAACAUAGCAGGGAGAUAACUCUUUAAAAUCAUUUGAAUAUUUAAAUCACAUUCAACACUUGUUUUAAACACAGAAUACAUAUGUAAUGUUAACUGGAAGAAAAACUAAGUCCAUUCGAAUGUAAAAUAUGGACAUAAUGGAUUUAUUUUUUACAAAAUUUACUUCUGGAUAUUAUCUUAUGAUCAUAAAUAAGCUUCUGUCCAAUUCCUGUACAAACCAAGGAUAGUUUAAGAAAGUUAUUAAAAUUUUAAAAACUUUAACCACAGAGUGAAUGUAAUGUUUCCCCGCAGAAAAACUGAGUCCAUUUACAUGUAAAAUAUUGAGAAAUGGAAUUUUAUUUUUACAAAAUUUUCUUCUGGAUACUAUCUUAUGAUCAUAAGGUCCAAGGACACAGUUAUCUUCCUUUGGUUUUCGUUGUCUACGAAUAUAGUCCCUAGUGUAAACAGUGUAUAACUAACAUGUUUUAUUUAAUACACUUUCCCAAUUUAUUUCUUUAUAUUAAAUGCAUGAAAUAUUAAGUAGGGGGAUGUAAUUCAUGUCAAAAAAAUUUUGGUGCUGAAACUUUUUGUUAAGUAGUGAAUUGCAGGGAUGAUUCCAGGUUUUUACAAAUGGGUCCCUUAAAUAUCAAAUUGGGAAUUUUUAUCCCAAUUGGGAAUUUUUUUAUGCAUACAAUAUAAGACGAAAUAAUAUAUCAUUUUCCUGUAAAAACGGAAAAUGAAUAUUAAGUUAAUUUCUUCUGUACACUGAUUGAAGAAAUUAUUGGAUUCAGACCAGGGAAGUUGUAAUACAUGAAUAUCAUUGCAUAUGAUGCACUAUCAUCUUAACUUUGGUAAACGAGGCCUAUUACAAAAAAACAUAUAUACCACAAGUACCAGCUAACAUAAAUCUAUGGCAAGCCCUUUAGCUAUUUAUUCGAAUUUCAAAUUAUCUCAUAAUAUAUAUGAUAUCUCAUAUAAUAUAUAAGAUUUAUUUAAGAUAUCUUAAAGUAUAUGAAAUAUCUUGUAAAUAUGUUUUGUAUAAGAUAUCUUAUUUAGUUCAUUCAAUAUCAUAUUGAGAAAAAUAUAUGAGAUAUCUUAUAAACUACAUGUAUAAGACAUCUCAUAAAUUAUUUCAGAUAUCUCGUGAACUAUAUAAGAUAUCUUAUAAACUUUAUAAGAUAUCUUUCAAACUAUAUCAAAUAUCUAAUGAACUAUUAUAUAAGAUAUCUUAUAAAGUUUAUGAGAUAUCUUGAAGUUAGAUUAAAGAGCAAAACGGCUUGCCAUAUUAACCAGUGAAAAAAAUUUAAAUAUAUUUCAAAUAGAACUGGCCAAUUGUUGAAUUAAGAAAAGCAAUUACAAAAGUAUAUAUAUAUAUAUAUAUAUGCUUAAUUGAUAAGUUAUUUAAAGCAAUUGAACCAGUGAACUUUAAAAUUAUUUGGAUCAUUUUCAUAUCUUUUGAAACAGUUCCAUAAUUCACGUUUGCGUUGUCGUCUGUGGCGUCCGAAUAAUUUUAGUUUACGCAUUCUAACUUUAGUAAAGGUGAAUAGAAAUCUAUGAAAUGUUAACACAAGGUUUAUGACCAUAAAUGAAGGUUGGGAUUGGUUUUGGGAGUUUUGAUCCCAACAUUUUAGGAAUAAGGGGCCAAAAAGGGCCCUAAUAAGCAAUUUCUUGUUUUUCGUUCUAUAACUUUAGUUUAAGUAAAUAGAAAUAUAUGAAAUUUUGACAUAAGGUUUGUGACCACAAAAGAAAGGUUGGGAUUGUUUUUGGAAGUUUUGUUUCCAACAGUUAAGGAAUUGGGGACCAAAAAGGGGCCCAAAUAAGCUUUUUUCUUGAUUUUAGCACCAUAAAUUUAGUAUAAAUUUAUAGAAAUCUAUGAAAUUUAAACACAAGGUUUAUGACCGUUAAAGGAAGGUUGGGAUUGAUUUAGGGAGUUUUGGUCCAAACAGUUUAGGAAAAAGGGGCCAAAAGGGUCCAAAGUUAAACCAUUAGAAUAUCAGAUCAUAAUUUUUUGCACAGAUGUUUCCAAAAGAAGCAGAUGUGAUAUGAUUGCCAAUGAGACAACUCUCCAAAAGCUACCAAAAUGACCAACUAUAGGUCACUGUAUGGCCUUCAACAAUGAGCAACACCUAUACUGAGAUGAAAUUGUUUUAAUAAACAUCAAAAAGGAUAUUUUAUAAUUUACAACCUAUAUUCAUGGAAUGCAAGAAACAUGUUGAAAAAUUAAUUAUAAUUACACAGAGAGUGUUCAUUUAAUAAAUAUUUGUUGGCCUAUCAGCAUGAUAUAAGUAUCAAAAACAUUUUGAUAUGAACUACCAUCAGAAUAUCAUCAGUUAAGGAUGUUUGCUGCUCAGAUUCAAAAUAAAUAACUUUCCAAAAACUAGUAUGUAUUGAUAGGGGUUAAGUUGAGGAUUAAAAAAAUCAAAAAGAAUAUAGGGGUCAAUGUGAUUGUUUUUGAGAUAUUAGCCAUUGGAAUUUUGGCCAGAAAUGUUCUCUCUUGACUUGUCUAGCUUUACCAUUGACCAGUUAAAAGUUCUCAAAAACUAUUUAAUAUAAUUAAGAUUUAUAAGACUGUCACAAAUGGCUUAUAAUUAUACAUAUGUAUAAGAUUUAUACAAAGAAAAAUGGGGGUUCAUGGUCAAAUUUUUUUAAGGCAUUCAAAUGGAUAAAACCAGAGCAUUUCAAAAGCUGACAAAAUUUCCAAAACAUGACAAGCAAACAUCCUUAAAUAUAAUUGAAGACAAUUUUGGUAAAAAAAAUUUGUAUCUCAAAUUUGAUACUAAUAUUUAGGUUAAUCAUGGAUCAUAGUUAGACUAUACAAAUCAUUGUUUAAAUCAAAUAUUAUACAAUUAUGUUAAAUAUCAAGAUUUUUUAUACUUAACAACAUCAAAUUGCAAAAUAGGGCCUUGCUUAUGCUCAGAAAAAUAAAAUAUGAUAUAUAAAGCAAAGCAACAUUAUCUGAUUAUUAGAAAAUAUGAUAAAAAAAAAACUUUACUUUUAAAAAUGCAAUAUUCAUGUUCAUAUUCAUAAACAGGUGAGAAAAUAAUGAAACUAAAAUGAGUUGAAAUGGUUUAUUGGGUCUAUAAUGGUUGUGUUUGAAUAUUAUUAUUUUUUACAGAGUAAUUAACACUCCUCCCCUCUUUUUCUAUCUGUCCUCUCAAAUAAAAAACCGAAAUAAGUAACUUUACUAGACAGAUUUUGAUGCCUUAUAUUAAUUAUUCACAAGUUAAUUAUUUAAACUAAUUACUAUAGUGUAUUUGCAACUCACCGUAUUUUGCUGGUUUGACAUCUGACUUGUUGAUCUACUACUAGUUGGCAGAGAAUAAGUUGGCUGGUAUUGAUGCAUUAUCUGGUUGUUACUUCUCACAUUGUUAAGAUGUGUAAAGGUUGGCUGGUAGUGACGUUGAUAUUCCAUGUUGACAAGCAAACAAUGAUGUGCAAGAAUUCAGUUUUACUUUUUAUAUAAGGUUAAAAAGAUGAUAAUUGAUUGGUUAAACAUCUACUUGUGUUUUCUAUUUGAAGUUUUACAGGUGUUAUAAUAACGAUGAACAUGGCUUCAAUGCCAAGCUGACAUGUGUAUAGCUCUUGUAAAUAGAAAAUGCCAUUUCUAUUGUGUUUUUAAUUUUAUGAUUGGCUUUGUGAAGCCAUUCAAAUAUAUCCUGAUAGGAAACUUCAAAUGAUGAAAGGUUGUUUGCAAAUUCAUUAAAUGUUUGGAUUGUUUUUCCUAAUUGCUAUCAAAACAACAUUUAAAUUAUUUUACUAUGUAUAAUACAUUUGAAAUGUUGUGUACAAAUAUAUUUGCAAUGUUAAUGAUAUACAUUAAUUACAAUCAGAAGUUUUAUGUUUAUAAUACAUUUAUAUUUAUAAUUAAAGUGUUUUUGAAUAAAUAUAAAUGUAAAUUAUUUAUUUUCCUGCAUCCUUGUGCAUUAUAUGUAAAGCGGUUUUGUGUUAACAUUUUUAAAUAGUACUAUUAACUUUAAAGUUUAUAGCCCUAACCAGUAAUAUUCUUUAAUAUAUGAUUAUGUGAAACAAUUUAUUUGCAAAAUUUGUCAAAUAAAAAUUAAUUCAACAGAAUCAAAAGACUUGGUAAUCUAUGAAAAUCCACAGUCAGUCUGCGGAUGAUGAGAUUCACUUAAUUUCAUUAUGUCCAAGAAAAGCUAGAUUAUAACUUAAAUUUUACUUUCAAAUUCUACACAAAAUUAAAAAAAGUAUAAAAUUUAAGCUUAACCUUUAGAAAGCAUAUUUCCAUAAUUUUUACCUUGUUAUAUUCAUAUGGCACAUAACCAUGACAAGAGCACCAGAACUAGUAUAGCAAUUUAGUAGGUUGAUUUUUUUUAAUUUUGUUUCAUAAUUAUUUAUUUUUUAUAUCUUAUCAAAAUGACUUUUUUUCCUUGAGGUUUUGUGACUUUUUUUGUUUAUGUUUCUACUCUAUAUUAAACAAACCAGUACAUGUAUUAUUAAAUGUAACACUUCAAUCCUUCAUAAUUAAUAAUUUACAAAAAAGUUCCAAUUUUUUUUCACAAAUGUUUUUAAAAUUAUAAACUUAAAAUUUAAAAGCUCAUUAAUUGGUAACCGUAUGUAUACAUAACAGCCACUAAAGAAAAAAUAUGUAAAUGUUUGAAAAAUUUACAUUAAGGCCAUAUUACAAAUUUUCCAUAUUUUUAAUGAAAAACAGGAAAAUAUGGGCUAGUUGUCUUCUCAAGAAACACUCAGAUCUCAUGCAUCAAGGAUUUGUAUAGUUAGACUAACUAUACAAAUUCUUGAAUGCAUCAACAAAAAAAUCUUUUGAUAUAAUUUUUGUUAUUUCAAUUAAAAUAAUUGACAAGAAGAUUAAGAUUGUUUAAAAACUGAUACACUGUGGUCUUGAUCCAAAUGUGUUUUUAAAUUAUAAACUUUGUUUAUAACUUGUAUAAAAACACUAAUCCUAUCCUAUCCACUGGAAUUAAUGGUUAAAGUUCAGUUUAUAAUUUUAGUUCAAUUAGUCCAGUCAAACUAAAUUUUAACCUCAAACUAAUUGCAACAGAUAUUUUAGCUCACCUGGCCCGAGGGGCCAAGUGAGCUUUUCUCAUCACUUGGCGUCCGGCGUCCGGCGUCGUCCGGCGUCGUCGUCCAGCUUCCGGCGUCGUUAACUUUUACAAAAAUCUUCUCCUCUGAAACUGCUGGGCCAAAUUAAACCAAACUUGGCCACAAUCAUCAUUGGGGUAUCUAGUUUAAAAAUUGUGUCCGGUGUAAAAAGUGAAAAUUCUUUGUAUCAGACCAUACUGUCUGCUUAAACAGUUGAAUGUAAGAGCCUUUUUUGUGCUCAGAUUUAUUGCAUCAUGUCACCUGAGUAUAGAAAUGAUAGAAAAGACACAAAUUUUUAUUUCCUAUAGCUCAAAUAUGCAUUUUUAAAUGUAAAUAUGUGCUACGGCCUAAAUUGACCCUAAAUUAUUUUUAGUCUUACUUGGCCUAAGACCCUUUUAAAUUAAUAUGAUGUUAUUUGUAAGUGUUCUGUCCAUUUAAAGUACAUUAAAUACAUAUAUAACAUGUAUAAGGAUUAUUUCUAAUCAAAAAGCUUCACAAAUUUAAAAUUGCUGGAAAAUAUUACAUCUUUAUAUAAGGUCCCCCUUCAUUGGAAAACCUCCAUUUUUAGUCAUAGGCUCAUAUAAAGUUGACUUUUGAAUAAUUAUGCUAAGUCUGAUGUAUGUAUCAAAUGAGUAAUCUAUUGCUUUAAAUUACAUGACAUAUUAUAUAUAUAGGCAUUUUGAAAGUAUUUUUUUGCAAUAUUUAAAUUUUAAAAGCCUCAAAUGUUGAUAGUUGAAAUUUCUCAAUUUUAACGUCUGAAUUUAACGCACAAAGUUGAAUAUAGAAUUAAUCAUAAUGUCUUUAAUAUAUAUCCUAUUGCUAUGAAACUUUGUAAGCAGUCUUAGAAUAUAUUAAGCUUUAGUCAUACCAAGUUUUAUUAAGAUUGAUAAACUUUUUCUAUCCUAUUAGGUCCGAGUACACAGUUAUCGUCCUUUGAUUUUCGUUGUCCACGAAUAUAGUCCUUAUUGUGGACAGUGUGUUACUUGUCAAUUUUUGUUAUACCCCUUCCAAAUUUAUUUCUCCAUGUUUUAUGCCUCAUAUAGCAAGUUGGGGGAUGAAAUGACACUGUAAAAAAAUUUGGGUCAUAAAUAUUAAUGUAAAGUAGUGAUAAGGUUCAGCUGAAAAGGUCACAAAUUAGCACUUCGGAAGCUUUUCCAUUUAAAUUCUCUAUUUUAUUCUCAAGUCAUUUGCAUGAUCCAUAUACCACUGCAGUAGUUACAGUCAUUUUUUUUCUCUAUUGCAGGAUGACAUCAUCAACAUCUUUGUCAUAUGAAGUAUACAGCCAUACCAUCACCUUAAUGGAUAACUUGAAGAGACAAUGCACAUGUUCAAAGUGUAAUGGAAAAUUUGUCAACAUUAAGACUUUCCGAGCUCAUUCAAAGAAAAUCCAUAACACCCAUGCUGAAAUAUCAGACACUCAUAGAGAACAACCUGAGAUUGUAAGAGAGUCUAAGGAACUUUUAAAAAAAACUUUAAUUUUAAAUCAGUCACUCCAUGAAGGAACUAAUAGAACUGUAAAAGAUGCCAUAGCCGAACAUUUAUUCAUAUUUUCAUCUAAUAACGGAAUGUCAAAGACAGCUUUGUCACAGUAUCUUUACCACGAAAAGUGUGUUCUACCACAACCAAACAACCUGCCAUCCACUUAUUGUGAAGCUGUCACUAUUAUUCAACCAUACCUGAUGCCAAUAGAAAAAUUUAAAUGCUGUACAAAUGACUGUAAAAUUUUUCCUAUCAGCAGUACCAUUCUUGCCUGUCCAGACUGUAAUGAAAGUUUGGUGUUUUCAAACAACAGGAACAAAAAAACAUUCCAAUAUAUAUGCCUAUAGUACCACGCAUAGUUCGUUGGUAUGGAACUAGGAACCUGGCAAAGAUUCUUUAUGCCAACAAGCUUAACACAACUGGCAGGCUAAGCAGCUACACAGAUGGCAAUAUAUUUCGACAACAGAUGACAGAUGGAGUCUUCAAAGAUCAGCAACAGCAGAACUGUGUGCCAUUGGCUCUUUUUGCUGAUGGUGUGAAUCCAAAUAAGAACCAAACAGUCCAGAAGUCAAUAUGGCCUCUCAUCAUCACCUGGAUAACACUCCCACAAGAAAUGCGAUAUAUUUUAGGACCAAUGAUGUUGGCAGGUAUUGUUCCAGGCUAUGGUAGAAAAGAACCAAAAUCACUGGACCCUUAUAUUAACGUUUUAGUUGACGAACUUUUAUCAAACAUUGAAUGUAACUUGUAUGACGCCUACACAGAUGCACCAGUAAAUGUAAAGAUUGCUUUAUUACAGUAUUUAUGUGAUAUACCAGCUUUUUCUAAACUUUUACACUGUUCUGGUCAAGCAGCUAUUCGUGCUUGUUUUUUCUGCAAAGAUACAGGUGUCCAUAGCAGUUCCGUGAAUAAAGUAUUGCACAUAUCGAACAGAGAGUUUUUACCCACAGAUUCGCCAUUUCGGAAAGACAAGACAUUAUUUGCCAAGAAAACUGAAGAGGUUGCUCCCAAACCACAAGCAUAUUCAAGGGAAGAAGAAAUGGAAAUAAGAAAAGAAUAUGACAAAAAAAAAAACAAUAACCAAAAAUGUAAACUACAAAAAGAAACUGGAUUUAAAGGGAUACAUCCACUUCAUCGCCUACCAUAUUUUGACAGGGUGCAUCAGAUGCAACCAGAUGGCAUGCACACAUUAGCAGAUGUCAUCAGCAACAUUCUUGAUCUGAUAACAGGCAAAUCUGAUGGACCUAAAGUUCGCCAGUGCGAAAAAGAUUAUAAUCGAUUUAAAGAAACCUGGCCAAAAAGACCAUCAUUAUCAACAACCGAAUGUGAGAGACCAUCCAAACAGGCAAAGAAAUCAUCUGUAGAUACAGCUGUUCCUGAACCAACACCAAAAGCGCCUCCUUUACCAGCAGCUCCUUGGUUACUAACAAAACAGGAUGUUAAAUUAGCUGACAACAGAGCAAAGAGUGUUAAAUACCCUAAAGGCUUUGAUUAUACUCCUGCUGACCAUUUUACCAGAGCAUGGACACUGCGUACAAUGCAUGGCAAACAACAGGUAUUGAUUAUAAAAAUAUUUUAUUUAAUGAAUUAGAUAUGAAUACUGUAAGUUCAGAAAUUAUUGCUUGCAUUUAUUAUUGCACCUUUUUUUGGGGACUAAAAUGCAAUUUAGAUUUUAGCAAUAUUUAGAAAAAUCCUGUUUAAUUCAUAUAUAUACAAAAUUUCCAAAAUGCAAGGUUAAGGUGGUACCUUACACUACAGGGAGAUAACUCUUUUAAAUCGACGAAACAUUUUAGAGUGUUGUGUUGUUAAAGGAAUAUUGAGCUUCUCAAUGAUCAAAAUUAGUGUUUGUCAAAGCAACCAUUCAGGGGAGGGAAUAAUAACUCAUAAUUAAUAAUAAUUUUAGAUAAUAUUAUAAUUAUUUGAAAGCUGGAAAAAAGUAUAACUUUUGUUUAUUUCUGAUAUAUAUAUAUAUAUAUACUGAAAGUAUGCCCUAUAUAUCUAGUAAUAUAUAUCAUUUCAUCCAAAUGCUUUGAAUCUUUGUAUUUUAACAAAAUGCAGUUACCAUGCACAAAUGCUAUGAAAUAUUCAAUAAAGUGAUCUAAAAAAAAUGAUUAACUUGAAGAUAGAAUUUAAAGGAAACCAAUUACAAAUAUGUCAAGUUCCCUAAACUGAGAAUUAUUGAAAAUAUCAAUUAUGACAAUUAAUAAUGUCAUUAAAGAUAAAAAAAAUAUUUGAAACUUUUGAUAAAAGUCAAAUGUGUAAAUAUUGUAUUGGGUUUAUUAGAGUACAGUUAAUUCAGUCAUGACAGAUACUUGUAUGAUAUAAGUAUUUUUUUUUUAGAACAUUUGUUAAUUCAAACUCAAAUAAUAGUGAAUAUUCUCCUUUUAUUCAUAUUUAUAUAGAAAAAUACUUUAUUUCAGUUCGUAACCAAGAAUAUUGCAGCAUGGUGUAUCAGAGGCCUCCUAGCAAAGCCACAAGAAGAAACCUUAUUCAAUUUAUUUGAAGUGAUCAAAAGACUGACACAACCAUCCUACACAACUGAGCAGCUUCAAGGACUUAUUGAAGACACAAGUACAGCAGUGGUGUUACUUGAAAGGGAUUUUCCUUUGACCUUGCAGGUUAGUUUAUCUACUUAGAUGUAUGAGUUCUAUAUUCAUCCGUAUUUGCAAUUGAAAGAAUCAAGUAAACAAUAAUAAUUACUUUAUCAUUUUAAUUAUCUCACACAAUUUACAGCAGGAGGCUUACAGUUAAUAUCCGUACACCCCUGAUCAACCAAAAUAAAGUUAAUUCUUAUAAGAUUUCAAAACAUUUUGUUGAUGCCUCUCCUAGGAAAUGUAAAUGAUAAAAAAAACAACGAAUUGAAACAAGAUAUUUUGUUUAUUGAUUAAAAAAGGCAUGAUUGUUUUAACCAUUUAAAUUAAUUUAACAGUUUAAAAAAAAAUUCUGCACAUAAUUAAAGAUUGCUUACUACUACAUGUACUAGCUGCUAAGGUAGAUGGAGUUUUAUUUUACAGCCUUAAUUGUAAUUGUUCAAUCAGAUUGUAGAUUUUUGCCUCAUAAGAAUUAGUAUAUUUUUAUGAUCUAAUUUUCCAAAAGUAUGCUUAGAGAGCUGCUGAAUAAAACAAAUAAUAUCAGGCACUAUUUAUUUUAAGUACUUGGGGUGCUAUCAACAGUUUUUUCUAUGAUGUCAUAUUUUGAGGGCCAUGCAUAAGUGACCCUUAGUGGUGGACUGAUUUAUAAAGAUACCUGUAUAAAACUAGAUAUCACUGGAAUCAGAAUGUUCUCUAGCUUCUUAUAACCUUGAUAGAAAGUUUUAUCAUAUUAAAAAAGAAGCCUAAUUUGAACAUAAAAAACCUGAAAUCAGGUUAUGUUCAUACCCAUACAGACGUGCACAUUUUAUAUAAUCAAAACUGUAUGAAAUUUAUAGGUUUUAACCAGGCCUUUGAAAAGUACGGUCUCCUGCUCCGAAAACAGCUACAGUGGCUGCAAAUAUGUUUUAAUUUUUUCACUGCCUAAAAACAGGAUGUUUACAGUGUUGUCUGCCUUCAAAACAUGUAUAUUUAAUAUAAUUUUUAAAAUUAUUUCAAUAUUCAACCUUUUUUAAUUGAAAGCUAAUUACUUUAGCAUUAAUUGAGUAAAUAAACAGGGGUUUCCCUCCAUGGUUAUUUUUAGUCAGGGAAUAACCCCUGUUGUUUAUAUGAAACUGUUUAUAGCACCCUUAUAAAUGUAUACAUAAUUUAAAAAAAAACGAUUAAAGGGCAGAUAAAUUGCGGAAUGAUAUAAAAAUGCAACGUAAGAAGAUGUCACAUAAUUUCAAAAAGCCAACUCUCUCAGUGACCAAUUAAUGGACUUUCAGUCUGUGCCAAACUGUUUUAGGGUUUGUCUGACCGAAAGAGAAAUCUGGGUUUUUGUACAUAUAUAUUCAAACAAAAUAUUUCAAAAUUUCUGUCUGUCCGAAUGAUUUUUUAUCUGCCAUUUUGUCGUUCAGACAGAGUUUGGGAUACCCUUGACUUUGAUGUUAAUAAUUAAACAUGAUGCUUGUUGAAAUAUCAAUUAAAAUAAGCACAUUCAAUUAUUUCCCUUGCAAUAAUUUCCUUCACACACAUCCUGGAGUUGUGUAUAGCUGAUGUGUUAAGUUUCAUCAGUAACAUCAUAACAGACAGACACUAAACGAGUGUCAGUACUGUAGUCAGAAUUAAGGUUUAUAUAAUUUUCUUUUCAGAUGUAGUACUAUAUAAUACCGAAUGAAUUUAUAAUUUUUCAUUUGUUUAAAAUAUUUUUAUUUGUAGAAUAUCACAACACACCUGCUACAUCAUAUCCCAGAGGGUUAUGAAGACUAUGGACCAUUGUAUGAUAGAUGGCUUUAUCCUUUGGAACGAGCAAACAGUUGGGUGACCAGACAAAUUUUACAACAUGGACAUGAAGAAUCAACAGUGAUGCAGACAUACCGGGUAAGUUAAAACAGAAUUGAAUAACAUAAAAAAGAAGAUGUGGUAUGAUUGCCAAUGAGACAACUGUCCACCAGAGACGAAAACAUUAAAAACUAUAAAUCACCGUAUGACCUUCAAUAAUGAGCCACAACGAGCAGACCACAACAUCUUAUAUAUAGAUGAUAGGUUAUAAAAUGAAGGCGUUUUGAGUUGCAUCAAAUUUUCAUUUUGGGAUUAAAAAUGUAUUGAGAAAGAUGAAUAAUACUAUGAAAACAAUAUGUGCAGAGUUAUGGUCCUUGGACUUUGAAAAUUCACUCUAAUCAUUACUUUCUACCUUUUUUUUAUCUUCUUUAAGAUAUUGACUUGAUAUUUGUUUGUACUUUACACCUUGACAAGUGAUAGUCAAAGCAUUUUGUUGCAGUGUAAUGAAAUUUUAUAAGUAGGGAUCUAUGUUUUGCCUUACAAUACGCUCAAAAUGCUUGGUGAAAUUUGAAUCAAGGUUCAUAUUAGCAAGUUAUAUUGUGUGUUGCAUUUUCAUAAUUAUCACUAAAAUUAAACCAUUAAAGACCAAAGAACGGUUUUCCACAAAAAACCUUAGCUCAUACCAAACAACUUCUACUAAGGGCCCCAAAAAAUGACUAGUGUAAAACCAUUAAAAUAGGAAAAAACAACAGUCUAAUUUUUAUAAAAAACGAGAAAUGAAAAGAAAAAUGAACCACAUCAACAAACGACAACAACUGAACACCAGGUACCUUAUUUAAGACAGUUGUAAACAAAUGCUUCAGGUUUAAAAGUCAACACAUAUGUUUUUAGUCUAACACAAGACAGACAUGAUUUAUAUGGUUGUCGCAUUUUUCUUGAGAUACUGCAUAUGAGGGUUCACAUGAGCACCCUAUAUGUGAUGGUUUUCAGCAUUUAACAUUAUCUAUAUACAAUUUGCUGAUUUGGCUUUCAAGAGUUAAGGAAUACAGCCUUGUUAAGAUACAAUUUAUCACAUCUCAUUCACUUACUCUAGUAUGCAUAAAUUAAUUUCCUUAAUUCAUAUUUCAGAUAUACGAUUGGAGCUCUCACAAUAUUUUGAGUGGUGAAAUUAUAAAUUACAGCAGACAAACAAGUCUGUGUCGCUUGGCAGAAAAAGUAAACUCCAUUCACCAUCAAGAUAUAUCUACAGCAUCUACGAAAAGAUUCAUAUUGCAAAGUGAGGAUCUAUCAAUUCUAAAAGACAAUUACAAUAAUAUAUAUGACCAAAAUUAUGAGUUAUUUGACAUAGACCCAGUGGUCACAUAUCUAAAGUUCAGCCAAAGACAGGAUGCCGAGUUAAAAAGACAAAUUUUCUUCUCAACAACAGAGCAUCAGACGACAGCAUCACGCUCACAUGACUAUUGUGUUAGUGUUUCGCAUAGGACAAACCGUCGCUUUGGCACAAUUUCUAAGAUUUUCAAACACAACCAUCUAGAUAAAGCUACCAUGUGGGUAAAAUUGGAGAUGUUUCCCAUUCCGGAACAAUCUGGACUAUUCUUGGUCACCGAUGACAGAAAGAUUGACACACAUAUAUUUAGCUUUGAUAAAAUAAGCAAUCCAGUUGUAUUUGCUUCAGAAGACAAUAAAAUAUGGUUUUUAAAUGUUUAGGUAUGCAUUUAUACAUGUACAUGUAUUUUGUAUGAAGUAGAUAAAUAGUUUAUAUACUUGGAAAGGUACAUUGUUAUGUAUUUUCUUGCUGUAUAUAGAACGAGUUGUUCAAAAGAAAAAAAUAAAUGGAUAAAAAGAGAUUUUUUAAAUGGAAGUCAACUUUGCUUUUUUCUAUGAGAUAUUCCUUUCAAAGGGUGUAUUACGUUUCCAACAUUUUUUUGCAUUACUUUUCCAAAAUAAUAGUUGCACCUUAACGCAUUUACCUGUAUUUCACCUGUAAAAAAUGGUAAUAAUAAUAUAUAAGACUUAAUAUUAUUAUAGUAUUUCUUAGUAAUUUGUAAUUAAUGAGUUCCUUCAAUAGGUAGAUAAUUAUUGCAUUAUCCAAAAUAUUUAAACAAAUACCAUACAUUUUUGUGUUUUAGAGACAUUUUUUUUUCAACUGAGCCAUUUAAGGGGAGAUAACUCUUUUAGUAAAAAAAAGUUACUGGUCUGAUUGGGAUUUUUUUUAAAUUUUACUUGUAUCAAGAAAGCAGUUCAGUGACACCACUUUUUCUUUUUUUUUUCUUUAUACAUAUUAUAAAACCUAUCUUCUCACAAUUUCUUUCAAUGAAAGUUCUAUCUCAUAGAUUUUUUUUGCACAAAAAUGUGUUUUUGCAUGAUCCUACAAUUUUUCAAUGACUCAUAGUUUUAAAAAUAGCACAGAGGCCCAUUCUUUCUAUUAUAUUUUUUUAAAAGAGCAUAUAAAAAUCUUCAAUUUAGCAAAGUAUAAAAAAAAUGAAUCUCAGGAAACUUACAUAUGAUCUGCCUUAACAUUGUGAGUACUUUUUAAAAGUUAUCAUGUAGAAAGUGGACCCAUAUUUGAUGAAUUCAGUUUUUUUGUUAUAUCUUUUAUAUAAAUUUGCAUAUGUUUGAUUUAUUUUUUGGACACUCAAUUUUAUGUCCUGAUUUGGUUUCGGUCAGUAUUAUCAAUUUAAAAAGCAAUGAGGAUAACGACUUCUAUAAAAAUUCAGAAACGUAGUGUCAAAACAUUUAAAAUGUGGAAACCAAAACACACAUUUCACAUCCUACUUUUUUCUGUAAUUGAAAAAAAAAAAGUUCCGAGCUUUCAAAUUACAACCAUUGUACAGGAUAUUUAUUCUGCUUUAUUUCUCUUUCUAGAAUUUACUGUUCUUUUUCAAGUUACACUUAAAUUAUUACUACUGAAACAAAAUUUUGGCAAUUAAAUAUUUUGUAUUAAAAUGUUUAUAUGUAAAUAUUUUGAUAAGAACAAAAAUUAAUAUUGGUAUGAAAAUGUUACAAAUACAAAUGUGAGUAUGGUUAAAUAUAAACCUAUUUAAAUAUGGGUUACAAAUGUUAAUUUAUACAUAUGAUAAAUAAGUGCUUAAUGAUUGAAAUCACUCAUACUGUAGACCUAUUUCAUUUUACAUGCAUAAUAUUCAAUGUUUAUAUGGCUAAUAAACAAUUAUUGACCAAAUUGUUGUUUUUAUAAUUUGCAUUGUGAUAUUGUAUUCUAAUUCUUUUAGUCUAGUUAAGCCAUAAUAGAAAUGAAAACAAAUCAGCUCAAAAAAGUGUUUAUGACUGUAAGACUGCGUCGAUACACAAUUCAGAUGAAAUUUAUAGUUGAGAAUGUGUCUAGACAUAUUAAGACAUCAUUAAGAAUGUCGAGAUUGUGUCGAGACAUAUUCAUACAUCAUUAAGAAUGUCGAGAAUGUGUCGAGACAUAUUCAUACAUCAUUAAGAAUGUCGAGAAUGUGUCGAGACAUAUUCAGACAUCAUUAAGAAUGUCGAGAAUGUGUCGAGACAUAUUCAGACAUCAUUAAGAAUGUCGAGAAUGUGUCGAGACAUAUUCAGACAUCAUUAAGAAUGUCGAGAAUAUGUCAAGACUUAUCGAGACAAAUUCAAGACAGUCGAGAAUAGGUCAAGACAAAUCAAGACACAUUUUAGACUGUCGAGAAAGUGUCGAGAAAAAUCGAGAAACAAUACAGAUAGUCGAGAACAAUGUCGAGAAUAUAAAUACAUAUUUCAGACAAAUUAAGACUUUGUCGAGAAUUUUUACAAAAAUUUCAUACAAAACGAGAAUGUCGAGUAAAAGUUCAUGCAAAUCGAGACAAAAACUGGUCUUUUCAGACUUUUGGAAUUUUGUAGUGAGGGGAUAUAGGUUUUCAUCAAUUUGAAAAUAAAAUUAAUAUGUCAUUUUUUUUUUUAAAUCAUGUGAAUUUAAUAUCAAUUUCAUCCAAGACAGAAAGCUCUAUCUAUGUCUAUACUAGUCCGAGAUUACUCUGAAGAACAACGGAGCCCUGUUUUGCCUGACAAGCUGGGACCGUUGGACAACACCAUAUCUUGUCUGGCUAAACAGCCGUUGUAUGUCAGACUAAUCUCGGACUAUGUCUGUUGAAACGAAUGAUCGGGAAUGACAAUGGUUCUAAUGAGUACUGUUGUGAUCAUGGUGGUCUAACGAAAGAUAAAACGAAAUCCAUUUCAAAUAACUGUGUGUUUUUAAUAACUACUUGUCCUAUCUCCUAUGCAAAGAUCUGACACAACUUCAUGUUGGCAUCCCAAUUUUUGACCUUUUAUUAACAAAUCGAUUUAUCACACGUGCGUUUGAAUCGAUUGGAGCAAUAUAUGCACAAGAAAAACGUCUACAAGAAAAAAAAAUGUCAAGGAUUAUCUAAUUUUGGAGCGGCAUGCAGCCCAAAAAUUUGCGGAAGCGGUAAUUAUUUUUUUUAUUAAAAGUCAAUUUCUCCAAAACAGGAGCGGGAAAAUCCAAAGAACUAUUAAUCAAAUUGGUGUGGCCUAAAAAUUAAUAUUAACACUUAGCUUCAACCUAAAAAAUAUAUAACACAGUUACUUCUUUGUUGUUGUAGCAAACUAUCUUAUUGAAUAAAGCUGUUGCUCAUAUAUGUAUAUAUCUAAAGCUAAAUGAUAUUAUAAAGUCUUAAAAUAUGGCAUUUUGAAACUUUUUUGAACUAAAUUUGAAAAGUUUGAAACUCGAAUGCCACUAUGUUCAUGAUGUUAGACUUUAUUGCCCCUUGUCUUUUUCCUAUUUGCAUGCUAAAGUGAACAGGAUUGGAUCUUUAAAACACCCUAUGUUUCAUGAAAAGCUAAAUUUUCAAUUAAUGAAUUGGUAGUCAGUGUGUCUUGUUUUUUAUAUGAAAAGUUUAAUCUAAACAUGUGUUAACUUGACACAACAGGUUUUAUUUAAAAAUUAAAUCAAGUUUUUUUGAAUUUCAGAUCCUAUGCACAAGCCUCUUCUGGCAACAAACAAAAAUGGAGUUAUGCCCAUGGCCCAAGUGAUACACCUUUACUAGGAUCUACCAUAGGCCAAGCUUUACAGGACUGGACAGAACUGAGACCAGACAAAGAAGCUGCAAUAUUUUGUAAAGGCAAUAUAAGAAAAACUUUCCAACAAAUCCUAGAAGAGGUAUUUUAAUACAUUUAUUAUUAAACAGUUUCACAUUUUUGAUAGAAAAAACAAAGGAUAUAUGGUAUCAAACCAUGACACAGUGUCACAAAAUUUGUAAAUGCAUAGCAUAAUACACUCAAAAAACAAACGAAUAAUAUUGUUAUUGCUGUUCUUCAUCUGAAAGUCAAAGUGAGGCCUUCAACAAGGAGCCACAAAAUAUAAAAAAUAAACAUAGGUCGCAAGCUUUUUCAUGUUUUGGGCAGAUUUUUUUUAUUACUCUGCAAUGUUCAAUUUGGUUUUAAAAAGAGAAAGAAAAUAUUUUGGCUUAUAAGGAUAGUGUAUUAUCAUAGUACAUGUAGUACAAAAAAUGUAGUAUCUAUAAUUAUCUAAAUCACUUACCUCAAGUUUGAUAGAAACUUGCAUUGUACUAAAAUAAAAAAUAAAAUUUAAAUACUUUGAUUAUUUAUAAAGUAAAAAAGUAGAUAUAGCAAACCAAGGAGAGAUAAACUGGCAGUCAAAUAAGUCACAGUUUAAUAGAUUAGUUUUGUUUUUGUUUUAUUUUCAGUCAGACCAGUUUGCAGCUGGACUAUUAGAGCUUGGCAUUAAACGAGGAGACCGAGUAGGAAUAUGGGGACCAAACUCUAUAGAAUGGAUACUUACACAGUAUGCCACAGCUCGAGCUGGAAUUAUACUGGUAUUUUAUGUUAAAUAUGUAUACAAAUUUUAUUGGUCACCCAAAUCAAAAACAAGAAAAAUGACAAUAUACAAUUAUGUCCCAUUGAAAAGGUGAACAUCUAAAAUUGCUAACAACAGAGGGCACAGCUUGAAGUAAAAUAGUUUUUUAGGGUUGACAAUUUUGGAUACUCAUGCAGCACUUUUAAGUUACCACACUUAUUAUGCCCCACCUGCGAUAGUAGAGGGGCAUUAUGUUUUCUGGUCUGUGCCUCCGUUCGUUCGUCCGUUCAUCCGUUCGUUCGUUCGUUCGUUCAUCCGACUUCAGGUUAAAGUUUUUGGUCAAGGUAGUUUUUGAUGAAGUUAGAGUCACAACUACUUGAAACUUAGUACACAUGUUCCCUGUGAUAUGAUCUUUCUAAUUUUAAUUCCAAAUUAAAGUUUUGACCCCAAUUUCACGGUCCACUGAACAUGGAAAAUUAUAGUGCGAGUGGGGCAUCCGUGUACAAUGGACACAUUCUUGUUUUUUUAUACUGAACUAACAGAGGAACAGCCUUUUAACCCAUUGAAAAAUCACUUACCUUACUGUAUAUAUAGUAACAAACACAAGUUAAUGUUCGAAAAUAAAUUUGUCGUUGCAUUUCUCAUAUUUACAACAAAGGUAAAACCUUUUUGUAAAAUAUUGAUGGCCCUGAAAGGGACUUUUUAUAAAAGAUACAUCAUCAGCACUAAAUGUUUGUCCAAAUCUUUGUUUUCUGUUCUCUUGGUGGGCUUCCUGUAAUGUGUAUCAUGUUGUUUAUUUACAUCAGUGACAUUUUCAUGAGAGAUAACGCAUGUUCAAAUCAAGAAACUCAAAAGGUUAAACGCUAGUGAAUAGUAGGGUUAUUCACCGCUGGUGUCAAUUUUAGGGGUUAUUUGUCCUUCCUUGCAAUCUUGAUGAACAACUGAAAGAAUAUACAAUGUAUCAUCAUUCUAAAAGUUUGAAUUGGAAUUGAAAUAUUUCUUUUUUCAGGUCAAUAUAAAUCCAAUGUACAUAGCCAAUGAAAUGGAAUAUGUGUUACAACAGGUGGGAAAUGUCUGAAUAUUGAAUUAGUAUUAUAAUUUAAUGAGUCUGGUUUAGAUUUUUUAGAUAAAAAAUAAAGUUUAUUGAGAUUUUUUAAUGCAUCGUAGAGAAAAUUGCUCCUGAAAUUAUGAAUGCAUAAUUUUUCAAUAUUGCUAGACUGAUUUUGUAGCAUUUUUAACAUUUAUGAACAAGAUAUCUCAAUACUUUCUGAAUACAUUAAAAAAAACUAUUUUUUCUAAGAUAUCUUUUAAUAAAUAAGAUCAUAACAAUGUGAUGUCUUAUGCUAUAUCUAUUUCAUAUAAUCAUUGUUGGGGUUAAGACAAAUAUUGUGAUGACAGAUAUGCUCAAAUUUUAAGAUUCUACUCAGGUCAACCAAAUUAAAAUUCCAUUUAAAAAAUCAAAUGGGCAUAUAAUUUUAUACAAAGUUUCUUUAUCUUGUUACAAUUUAAUUGCUUUAUACAUGAUAAACAGUUGUGUUUUUAUUUAUAAAAGAAAUUUUGCAUUUAAUUAGACUGGUUGUAAAGCAAUAAUAGCUGCAGAAGAGUUCAAAGGUCAUGACUAUUAUGAAAUCCUGUUCCAUUUGAUACCAGAACUAGCCAGGUGUGAAGAUGGCUUUGUCAAAAGUCACAGGUAUAUUUCUUUAUAUAAGGUUGUGUUUAGAUUUUGAUAUAGUAAAACAGACUUUAUUGAACGGAAAAGAUAUUGGACUCUAAGUUGCAAUUUUCAUUGAUUUUAAUCAUACACAUUAUGACAAAAUAAUCAUUUUUAUAUUGGCAGAAGUCUAAAACCAGCUUAAAGUAUGGUAAACUCUAAUGUCUAGCCUGCAGAAAAUUGGUUACCUAAUUUGUGUAAACAACUGUUCCUAUAUUUAUUAAACCAGAUCCCUGAAACUUCACAGGAAGAUUACACAGAUGUUUAAGUUGUGCACCUGUCAUUAGGGAAAUGUUUUUUUAUUAAGAUUUGUUUCUUACUUUUCGAUACUUGGCGAAUUUAAUCUUUUUUCCACAAAAUUUAUGAAGUUUUAUAUUAUGAAGUUCUCCCUCAUUCCCUAAAUCUUUACAGAAGCAUUGCACAUAUGUUGAAGUUGAGGACCUGCUAUUACGGCAUUAUAAAAGGAAUUUCUGGCACGGUUUCAUGUUAGCAACCAAACUUGACCAAGAAAACAUGUUUAUUGAAAAUGAUUAAAAAAUAUGCAAAUGCAAUAUCUGUUCCCCCGUCAAUAAUGAACAAAGAAAGAUAACUCCUAUUCAAUACAAUUUUGAGAAUGUAUGAUGAUAAAAAUAUAGUGUAUCUGACUUUAGUGGUUAAACAAAUGUUGCAAGAAAUGAACUAUAAAUUGCUGAAUUAUAAAUAUGUAACCUUUAUAUAAUAUUUAUAGGUCACACUUGUAAGUUAUAACACACAUUAUAUACUCUGAAAUAUAUUAUUAUUAUUGAAAUUAAAUAACUCGAGUUGAUAUCAAUCGAUAUCUAAUUCUCACUCGUUAUGAAACCUAUAAUUAUCUUUAAAAGAUUUUUAAUAGGCUUCUUAUAGCCUUUCCUUCCAUCAUCCCAACUUGAGGUCACAAGAUUUCCAAGUUUGUCUCAUCACUCAGUAAAUAAUUCUACAUUGUUUAAUUCUGAUGCCCAUGCAAAUGUUGUCCUUUUUUCAUAUCAAACAGGAAGUUGUGAAAAAUGCUAAAUCAAGAUGUAUUACUGUUAAAACUGUUUAAAUUGAAAAAAAAUUUUCAGUUUGUCUACCAUUAUUUUUCUGUCAAAUGUGUUUGUAUUGAACAUCUGCUAAUUAUUUGAAAAUAUUUUGGGCAGUCUAUAAAAAUAUAAAAUCGUUUAGGACAUGUAAGUAACUUGACAUUAUUUUGUUUACAAUGGAGAGUGUAAUGCAAAAUAUUUUUUGAGUUGCAGAAAUGUUUUGGAGGGAGUGACAUAUUUGACAGUGUUAUAAUCAUAUUAUGUUUUUCAUAAACCAUAUCGCAUAUCUACUUUUAGAAAUAUAUAAUUAUAUAUCAAAUAAUUUAUUUUAUCUUGCAUUUGCACACCUUAGCAUCAAUCUCUUUAUUAUGUUGAACAAACAUAUGAUGUUUUUUUUUAAAUAUAUACAGUCGAACCUGUAUAGAAAGGUCAUCCUCUGGACCAAAGAAAAAUAAGAGAGGUGACCUUUGAAUCAAGGUUUAAAAUGGAUAAGUCUUACUACAGUGGGACAGAAAUAGGGUGACACAACAGGUUUUCCCUCAAAAUCGAUUGUGACCUAUAUAUCAGAUGUAAUUGUACAAGCAGUGCUGUCGGAAUACCAAAUUUAUACAUAGUCAAAAUGUACUAAAAAAUAUGGGAACUAUAACGAUGAAGUAGUCGACAUGAAAUGAAAAAAAAAAACCCAUUAAUUUUCAGGCCAUUCAAAAUGAUUCUGAAUGAUUGAUCCAAUCCACUAUAGAUAACGUUUCAUUAUUUUGCUGCUUUUUUAAAAAUCAGUUGUCAGUUAAUAAUGUCAACCAGACAACUAGACAGUUUGAAUAAGAAAAACAACUUGCUGUAUAGAUGCAAUCAUUGUCUCAGUUUCCUAGAAAAUGUCUUAGAAAACUUCUUAAACAAAUCAUAACCAUAAGUUAAUAUAAUUUCAUAGGUAAGUUAUACAGCAGUAAUCAUUUGUAAUAACAUUAAACUAUGAUUUGUCUUGUUGAUCAUCAAUAACCUUUCCAAAGAAAAAUGAUCAAUAUUUUAUAUGGCAAUGAAAUCUGUUGUUGAAUUAGUCCGACUUAUAACUGUUAUAGAUGUUGAUAGAUGUAAGUUUGUAUUUCAGGUUACCGGAUUUAGAAACUGUUAUAAUGAUAGGAGAGAAGAAACACCAGUAAGUAGUUUUUUUUAUUUUUUACCUAAUCAUAUAUUUGCCAUUACAGAAUCUAAAGGACUGUUGGUAUUUACAUUGUGCAUACCUCUAAAAGGAAAAUUUAAUUAUAUCAUGGUAUUGGUUGAAUUUCAUUUAAAUUUGUUAUGGGAGUUUAUUUACUAAUCAGUUUGACAAAAUAUGCACUAGAUUAUAAAACAGUAAUUGUUAGUUCUAUAAAAAGAACAUAUACCACACUUAAAUUAUAAUCGGAACUUGAAUGUGCAAAAUUAUUUGUUUUUCUUUGUACAGUCACAUAAUUCAUGAAAUAAUUAAUCAAGGUAAAACAGUUUUCAAAUUAUAUGGUACUUAAUGCAGAUCAUCUGCUUUACAGUGAGCUUUUGGUUUAAAUGUCAAGAACUACUUAAAAAAAUGCAUUAUUCUAGCAUUUAAUUAUUGGAUGUAGAAAUAUAUUUUAAAUACACACUUUAUGUCUUCAUAUAUAUCAUGAAUAUUAUAAUAUACUAUUGAUUCAUUUAUAUUCUUUAGAUACCAAAUUUUGUGAAUUUUUUUUGUAAAGGUGAACCAUCAAUUUAAAUUUCAAUGAAGUACACAUUUUCACAGACUUAAAAGCAAAACCAUCAAAUAUCCACAAAAAUGUCAUGUUUUUUCAAUUCAUGAAAAUUGGAAUCCACCAUAAUAAUUUAAUCUACAGUAUGUGCCAAACAAAUAAAAGAGUAAGCCAUUUCAAUGUUUAAUUUCAUUUUAUUUUUACCUUGAUAUAUAAAGUGGCACAAACCAAUGAACCAACUACUUCUGAUUUUUUUUGUUGGAUUGGUUACUUUGAAUUUUUAUGUUCAGUAUUUUAUACAUGUUAUACGUUUAAAUAUUUUUGUGUUUUUUCCCCAGGGGUACCUUAAAAUUCUCAUCUGUGUUGGAAGCUGGUACUAGUAAACGUAAAGCAGAAAUAAUGGACCUUCAGAAAAGAUUACAGUUUGAUGAUCCAAUCAAUAUACAAUUUACAUCUGUAAGUUAUCUUCUAUUUGGCAGAAAAAAAGAAAACCUGCAUGUACGGUACCCCACCUUUAGAACUCUUUUGGGACUACUUUAUUUUUGUGGGAAUUCAGGAUUGAAUUAGAACAUUGUUUUGUUUGUAAUGCUUUUUACUGGCUCAAAGGGUUUUCCAUCUUAAUUUUAUUGGCCAUUAUCCUCUUUUAUGAUGAAAUUCAAUUCAAACACAUAGAUUGUCCUAUAUAGAAAUGUACUGAACUAGUACACAAUUUAUUUAGGGACCUACUGAAGCUUGCCUCAGGCGCAUGAUUUUCUCGCUGUGUUGAUGACCCAUUGGUGGCCUUGUUGUUUUUGUCUGGUUGUUUUAUUGUCACAUUCCCCAUUUCUAUUCUCAAUUUUAUUCUUCAUCAUCUUUCUUAAAAUUUUAAAAACAAAAACAAAACAACAAAAUUGCCAUCUUAUACAGUAUCAGUAUAUUCAGAUUAGGUUCUAGUCAGGAACAUAUUGAUUAUAAUGAUUGCUUAGGCCACACCAAUUUAAUUUCUUGUUCUACAGAUUUUUGGACUCCAAAAUUUGGGGAAAAGCGAGCAUUAAAAAUUUUUAAAAAAAUAUUUAAUUUGCAAAUUUUGAGGCGAAGCUUGAAAAGUAAAGGCGAGCGAUUAAAUUUUUUUUUUGUAAACAUAAAUAGUAGGUUUGACAAUAUUAAAACUUAUUAUCAUUGUACUUGACUUUUUUUAAUUUCUAAAGAUUUUUCCCUGUUCACCAAGAAAUAAUUAAAUCUGGUCUAUGUAUGUGUGACUGACAAAAAAUUGAGACAAUUCUCCAUCCAAGUUGAAGUCAUAAUCAGUUUGGGGCACCCCUUAAUGUUAUAAAUAUCCCUUUUAAUGUUUUAUGAGGGUCAUAUAAGUAAGUUAUAAUAUAAUUGUUUGUACAAAGGGCUAAUAUUUUCUCAAAAACUAUAUAUCAUCUGGUAUAAAUGGUCAAAAUGUCCAAGAUUUGUAAAUUCUACUUUUAAUAACAUUAAAUUAACACAUUUACUUUAAGAGUUUAAUAUUUACAAAAUAAUUGACCCUCUUUUAGAAGUUGUUUGAAAUGAUGUAACUCUCCUCUUUUUGAGUACAAAAUUCUAGUUUUCAAGGUUUUGUAUAGAAGAACUAUACAAUCCUUGGUAUUUUAUUUUCUUUUCUACAUCAGUGAAAGACCCCUGUCGAGGGAGGGUUGUUCUAAACCUGAUAAUACAAACACAGGUAAAGUACGGCCUUUUAUACAGGGUUUGAUACAGACCAACAGCAAGUUAUAAGGACCCCAAAUUAUUAGCGUACACAAUCGAACACAGAUCAAUUUAUAUAUCAAACGGGAAAAUACAAUGAACAUCCAACAAACGAAGCUGCUGAACGACAGGUCCCGAAAAUCAGGACAGGUGCAUAAACAUGCAGCGGCUGUGGAUAGUUUUGUUUCGUCCGCAUACAAUAUAAUUGCAGUUGAAGGCAAAUCCUUCAAAAGUUCUUUGUACUUUAUUUUAACAACCAACAUUUUUUGAUAGGGAAUAUAAGUAAGGGGGAAAGAAACCAUUUUUUUGUUCUUUACAGGUAUUUCCGCUGUUAUAAAUUUAUAUCGGAGCACUCACUUUGGAUAAAUAGGUUUCAUGCUGAAACAAAUAUUCUCACAGAUAUUUACACAGUGUGGUGGGGUGCUUUUUGUAUUAAAAUCGAUAUAUACAGGUUAUACUGUAUUUUAAAACAAAGUUGAUAUCUUUUUGUAAUAUUUACAAAAAAAGCGGUGCGGGAAGACAUGCAUUACAUUCCGAUGCGGGAAGCAGGAAUAUAAAAAAAAAAAAAAAUUCUGUUUUGAAAAAAAUAGGUGCGGGCGGGUCCGUCGAACAAGGAAUCAAAUUGGUGUGGCCUUAGUUAUUGCAUGUACCAGAAACCUCUUUGACUGCAUCUAGGUCUAUUUAUAGAAACAUUAAUGUUUUAGAUUUUAUUUUUUCCCUAGGGAACCACAGGAUCACCUAAAGGAGCUACUCUUUCUCAUCACAAUAUUUUAAACAACAGUUAUUUCAUUGGUCGAAGAUUAGGAUAUCAUGAGAAGGUUGGUAUCAAUUAGAAUUAUCUCCUGAGAGAAUAUCUAUACACAAUAAAAAAUAGCUUCUAUAUUGUUUGUGAAGAAUUAGAGGGAGCAUUUUAUUACACAUGUUAUUUCAUUUUUAGUUGAGGAUUAAAAUUUUCACACAAAUAUUUCAAACCAAUGAACGGAGAAUUUGAUAAUUUGACAAUUUGACAUAAAUACAUACUGUACAUGAUGAUUUUUGUAGGAAACUCGAAUCUGCAUUCCAGUACCUUUAUACCAUUGUUUUGGUAUGGUAAUAGGAAGUCUGACAAUGGCAUCACAUGGUGCUACCUGUGUAUUCCCAUCACCUGCAUUUGAUGCUAAAGAUACAUUGGAAGCCAUCAGUAAAGAAAGGUAGAUUAUUCAUUUUACAGGAAUGGUACCUGCCAGUCAGGUAGAAUCUAAUGUAUAGAUUUUUGCUUUUCAGUUCUAAUAUCAGAUAAGCAAUGGAAUGUUUUCUUUACUAAAUGUUUAGUUCUUACCAAAUAUAUAUUGAUGUUAUAUUACUAUACUCUUUAAGUCUUAUAUCAGUUCCUCUCAGCAACAUUGCUAGAAAAUAUUGAAUUUUCAUAAAUGAAAUGCUAUUAACAUUCUAUGAUAAUUUUAAGUUAUUUACUAAUUGUAUGAGCACAAUAUAAGUAAUUAUAAACCAUAGAGUAAAUUGUGUCAGGAUUCAAAAAAAAUAUUUUAGAACUAUAUGCAAGUGGGGGCAUCAUCUGUAUCCCAUGGACACAUUCUUAGUUUAUUUUACUGGAAUUGAAAAGUACGCUACGAAAGUAUAGCCCUAUAUAAUUCUUAUAUGAUUUGCAUAUUAGGGAAUACGUUGAUAUGAUUGGUCGAGAGGACUUCCGGUAGUUGAUCUUGAUGUUGGUUAUUUUUCGAUAGAGGACGUUGACCAAACUUCUUUUCGUAACCAAUGUAAACAAGAUGGCGGCGAUGAUAGCACCGAUGUUAACAAAAUUUAUUUUACUGCACUUUAAUCGUUAAAUGAAAUAACAAAAACAAAUACAUUUGUUUGAAUAUAGAUAAGUGUUUUUGUAGUUUAUUUUUUAUCAGAUUACAUAUUUUUGCGUAAGCCAACAAAUAAAUUCAUGCAUCAUUCAAUGACACACAUAUACAAUUAACGUGCGAUAGAGGUUUCGAGUGUGGAAAAAUAUUUUCCUUAUCUCCAAUUUUAAAGAAUUUUAAGUAUUAAACGCCUUUUUAAAUGAAUUUUUUGGUGUAUAAACUGGACCAAGUCACUCUCAAACAUAUCAUAAAAGUCCUUCCGACUUAUUUGUUUAUGAGUGACUUGGUCGAGUUUAUACACCAAUAAAUUCCUUUAAAAAGGCGUUUAAUCCUAUUAUAUAAUAAAGUUACCACAAUCAAAGGAAGCACGGAAUUAGGGUAUAGAGGGUUUUUUAUCACGAGGCCCAAAUUUUCGCCUAUUUUCACCGAUAGAACAAAAACGUAAAAAUAAAUCCUGCCAAUUUAAAAUGGCACAUGCAAAGGUGUUGAUAAAAGUUUUGAAUCCGCCAAAAUAAUAAACGCAAAAAUAUUUUGUAAACCUUAUUCAAUGAAAAUCGCGAAAAAAUUACCUCCUAUACAGUAUAUUAACUUGGCCCAAGACAAGGUGUUAAGUCCCAUUCUAUUUAAGGAAUACAAGAUUAUUAUAUUUAUUUUAGAUGCACAUCUGUGUAUGGAGUACCCACCAUGUUUAUAGAUAUAGUGAACCAUCCAGAUUUACACAAGUAUAAUUUAUCAUCAUUGUAUACUGGUAUCAUGGCAGGUGCCCCCUGUCCUAUUGAGACCAUGAAGGAGGUGAUCGGAAAUAUGGAAAUGCCAGGUGUUACUGUAAGUAACUGAUUUCACUGUAUUACUGCCGUUUUAAUGCAUAAAAUUUUCAGGGGGUGAAAUGACACUGUAAAAAAAUUUGGGUCAUAAAUUUUAAAGUAAAUAAAGUAAAGUAGUGAUUUGGUCCAGCUGAAAAAAGCUAAAAGUUAGCACUUCGGAAGCCCUCAAAAGAUUUGAAGACCCCCUUAAAGGACCACUAGCUGUCAAAUUUAUGUUCACCCGAUUUUAAUCAAAUUCAUAGAUUUGAUUUAUAACAAUGUAAAACAUUUAUUGAAACUAUUAAAAGUCUAAAAUACACAAUUAACAGGACACAGGAAUGGAAAAUAGGUAGCUUCGUUUCGUGUGUAUUUCAAUCUAGGCGCCAUUUAAUUUAUUAUUGAGUUGACCUCGAAAAUCCUCUGAUGACCAUAUAAGCGAUGUAAACAUAAACAUAGAUAUAAAUAGAUUAAGCAGACUUGUGCUGUUGGAUUAUUCUAGGUCUAUUUGAUUUCAUAUUAUAUAUGAAAAAUAAAUGUUUAUCAUCGUUUUUACCUGUUUAAGAAUGAUAUUUUGUGGAUCUAAUCAGUCAAUCAAAUGAUUUACCUUUGUUUCACUUUCAAUGUUGACAUUCUUUUCCUUUAAAUAAAUUUACACAGACAAUUCACGUGAUAUCCAUCUCAAGUAAAGGGGUUAAAUUAAAGUUAAAUGAAUACGGAUUCAAUGAGAUCAAAUUAUUCACUUGCAAGUGAAUAAUUCAUGAUCAUUUUAUUUUUUUUUUUUUUAGCUAAUCAUACUAGCUGCUAAAAGCAAAUUAUUAUUUCACUAUUUGCAUUUCAUUAAUGAUUGAGCCAAAAAAAUAAUGUAUUAGAUUUUUCAUAUAUCUUGUAGCUAGUGCCCCUUUAACAUAAAAUUGUUCCAUAUUUUGAGUAAGAGAUGAUGAAGUUUUCUAAUAUUUAUAUGAUUUGUCCCAAAAGUAGUACAACACACUGUAAAAAUAAUUGAGAAAGCCUAGGUGGGAUUUUUUUUAAUUUUCACUUAUUGUCUAAAAGAAAUGCACUACGAAAUAACUGUGUUCUCAGACCCAAUGCAAGCAAAAAAUAAGCAGUGGUAAAAAAGUGUUUAAUUUGAUAUUUCAUAUUAUACAGGUUUGCUAUGGAACAACUGAGAAUAGCCCUGUCACAUUCCAGAACUUUAGAGAUGACAACAUAGAGAAAAAAGUAGGAACCAUAGGUAAACCACACCCACAUGUGGAGGUAAUCAUUUUUAUGCAGUUAAGCUGCAUUAUGCGAGCACCCUAGAUUUGUGGUCUACCCAAUAAAUGCUGAAAUACUUGCCAUUGUUAUUAUCUAGCUGGCUACUAUGUUAUAUAUAACUAAUUGAACACUUUUUUAAUACUUUUAAUUCUGGAUACAAAAAUAUAAUAGAAAAAAACCUUAAAUGAUCGUCGAAUCACCCAAAACUUUUUGAAGUUGCACAUAGGAAGUAGUGCUCAUUAGGAAUUCUUAUGUAGUUUAUUAUUGCCUGUGCUUUUGGCUAAGAUGUCAAAAAACAAUUGUAUGAAAUAUUUAAUCACCGAAAAUCUUUUAAGACAAGUAGUUUAGAUUUCCCAAAUGGCAAAAGUUGUAGGAAAAUUGUUUGUCAUGAAUACGUAGUACAACGUCAGUAGUCUAUUAUAUAAUAAGUUCAACUGUUCAUGCUGUUGGCGGCAAUUUCAAAUUAGAAGACGAAAUUUUCGUAUCUUUUCAAUUUGAAGGCAGGGGUUCAAAUUAGUGGUGGUCCGAGGUCCUCAACCUUCCACUUUCGACUUGGUUACUAGCCGCGCCCGACGGGCCUUCAACUCUGAGACAACUAUAUCACAGUUAUAGUAGUCUCAGUUCCACUUGAAAGAAAAUAAAAAUAAUGAUUGAAAGCUCAUUUCCCUAAUCACGAAUAAUAAACGUCAUAUAAGUAAAAGGUGAAAAUAAAGUUCCUGUCAUAAACAAUAUUACCUACGGGCAUGUACCCGUACUUAAUCCUAUUGAUUUUCAAUCACUAGUAAACCAAACUAUGACACGGUAAUUAAGAUGUCAAUUUUGUUCAAUCGCUAGCUAUAUACAGAAAAUCGCCGACAAAAAAUGUGUUAAUACGAGUAAAAUCGUAUCUGACUGACAAAAACAACAUUGAAACACGCUGUGAAAAGACAAUUACAAUAUCGGAUCCGAUUCCGGAAGCAGAUAAGGGUAAUUCCGGGUUUUUGGCGAAUCCAGGCAGGUGACAAAAUACAUCUAUGCAUGGUAAAUGAAUAUAAACACUAGAAUUGAAAACCAAAAGAUAUAUGUAAAAGAAAGAAAAGCAGAAAAUAUUUAAAACAGAAACUCAAUAUUACUUUUUGACAAAUUUUAAUGUCAAAAUCCAAUACAAUGUGACAGCUGGGAACAGUAUAUCUAACAAUAUAUAUGUUCCUGGUCACAGUAUAAAUUUUCUUUAUCAGUGAUAAAUGUUGAUAAUGCAUGUAAGAUGCUUUUAAAGUGUAAACAUAUUACUGCAAUUUUGAAGGGGUAUUUUUUUUCUCAAUUUUGAAGGGUCAGUUAAGGUAGCUGGAAGAUUCUUACUUUAUUUUCACAAAUAACUACCUGAAUGUAGGCAAAUCAUAUGAUAUAUAGGUGGCGUCCUUUGGGCCACUCUACCCCCUCCUGUUUGGGAACUUACGAAACGGUCGAGAUCCCCUACCCCUAAACAAUAUAUAUUCAUGUAUGGGUCAAUAUAACUAAUUAAAUGAAAUAUAAGGGGAGUCCUCCCCCUACCCCCUCCUGUUUGAGAACUUGGAAACCGAUGAGAUCCCACCCCUAAACCAUAUAUAUUCAUGUAAGGGACAAUGUAACAAAUCAAAUGAAAUAUAGGGGAAGUCCCUGGGGUCAUCCUAUCCCUUCCUGUUAAAGAACUUGAAAACCCUCGAGAUCCCCACCCCUAAACCAUAAAUAUUCAUGUAUGGAACAAUAUAACAAAUCAAAUGAAAUAUAGGGGAAGUCCCUGGGGUCACCCUACCCCUUCCUGUUUGAGAACUUGAAAACCCUCUAGAUCCCCACCCCUAAACCAUAUAUAUAUUCAUGUAUGGGACAAUAUAACAAAUCAUUUACAUUUACUAUGGGCAGGUCAGUCAGACCUCACCUUUGAUCCUUGUAGUAGUGAACAUUUGUCUGAUUUGUUUUGCACAACUAUUGUACUAUAGAACACAUACUCAGUUUUCUUUACAGGGAAACCAGUCCAUUCAUACUAUUACAUGAUCGUAGUCAACUAAAACCAACGUAAACUACCAACUAGAACAACUACAAUCAUUGCGAACUUGUACCACUGCAGACUCACCAUAAAAAAAUAUACAUUUAUAUAUUCAUUGCUAUUGAAACCUUGAUAACGUAUAAAUUAUUUGCCUUAAUAAAUAAUUUAUUAGAUAAACAUAAAUGUACAAUAUAUGAAUGUUUAAUGCCACAUCAGAGGCGGAUUUAGAGGGUUUUUCAGUGGCCCUCCCCCCCCCCCCAUUUUUGAGAAAAAAUUUGGUUGAUUAUAUAGGGAAUCACUGAAGCAUGACUGGAGCAGGUCCCCUUUAGGCAGGGCAGUGGCCCCCACUGUAUGAAAAUUUCUGGAUCCGCCACUGCACAUAAUUACGUUUGCCUGGUUUUUGGUUAACUGCCUUCAGCGCUUACAGCGCUUUGAUUGACAAUAUUGAUGACUUGAGUAUACAAGUAUGGAAUAAUAAGUAACAAAACAGCCUUUGAGUUGAUCUUCAUAAUCUUUGAAAAAUUUGAAUGAAAAUAAAUGUAACAGAACAAAAAUUUAAAGAAUGAGUCACAUGGUCUGAUUACAAAGCAGUUAUAAAGAGGAUCUUCAGCAUUGAAAUGCAUAUAGUAUAUCAUGCUUAAUCCUUCUCACUUGUCAGGAAUUUUCAUGAUAAUAUCAAAUUUGGUAAACAAAAUCUGGUAGACUGAAACUCACAUCAUAUAAAGUUAUACAAUUAUUAUAUAAAUCAUAUGCCAAUGAACAUAAUUUACCUUGGUUAUCUAGAUAUUUGUACGGAAAUGACAAAAUUAUAAAUUGUCUCAAUAUUUAAUAUAAUAAUAGGAAGAUUUGGUAUAAAUGUGAAUGAUACAAAUAUCCAACAGAGGAUGUAAGCAACUAUAGGUUCUAUACUGUUUUCAAAAAUGAGCAAUAGAAAUGACCCAUCAUGGCUGAAUGUGAAACAGAGUAAAAACAAAGGCCUGUUUAUUCUUUCAGCAAUUAGUCAAAAUCUAAUAUGUUGGAGAGCAAAUUGAUUGUUUUAGUUGUUUUUGUAGCUUCAUAGUUAUUCUGGUUAUAUUUAUUGUUUUAGGCCAAAGUUAUAGAUGAGUAUGGUAAUGUUGUACCAUGUGAUACUCCUGGGGAGUUAUGUACACGUGGAUACACAACAAAGUUAGGAUACUGUUAUAUAAUUAUAUAGGAUAUAUUUUAUUGUUUUAGGCCAAAGUUAUAGAUGAGUAUGGUAAUGUUGUACCAUGUGAUACUCCUGGGGAAUUAUGUACACGUGGAUACACAACAAUGUUAGGAUACUGGAAUAAUCCGGCUAGAACAGCUGAUGUUAUCAAGCUGGACAGAUGGUACCAUACAGGGUAUAUAUGAAAUAUUUAUAUAAAAUUUUCUGAUGCUUAAAAGUUAGCAAGCAUUUUUAGUUUUUAUACUUAUUCCAAUGUUCCAUUUCAGGAAUUGAUAUCAUGCUCAUAUUUGAUCCUUUGUCUUUGAAUAGUAAUUUUUUAUGUUUACCAAACAAAAAAAUACGGGUCAAGUAGGAUAAACGGUACUGUAGUUCCUUUCGGAAGAACAGAGUAAUAAAUCGGUUUAACUUUAGAAGUAAAUCGGUGUAUAUGAACAUAAAUUUACAGACUGACAGGUCGACAGGUUGACACUAUAUAGGUCGACAAGUGUUAUGGCUGACAGGUUGACAGGUUGACAAGUGUUACGGUCGACAGGUUGACAGUUUGAUAAGUGUUAAGGUUGACAGGUUGACAAAUGUUAAGGUCGACAAGUUGACAGGUUGACAAAUGUUAAGGUCGACAGGUUGACAGGUUGAAGGGUUUAAUUUUACAAUUAAACAAGUGAAUAAAAGUACAUCAUCCAUUAGGCCACGGUUUUUUAAUUUGUUGGUUUACGGAUUUUCCCCAUGAAAAAGUCGGGUCGGUCGGUCGGGAAAAAAAAGAAAAAAAAAUCAUCUUUGAAGACAGAAAAAUAUGCAAAAUCAAUAUAUAUUUCACCUUUCUAACAAUAUGUUUGUUAUGCCAUUUUAUCACCAUUUCUUAAAUUUUAGUUCAAUGAAAUAUUAUUGCUCAGCUGUUAUAAACAUCGCAUGACAUUGUCUAAUAAUUUACAGUAAAAAAAAGGAGGGUGCACGGACAAAGAUGAAAUUAAAUCGUCAUUUCAGAAACAAGAAAAAUAGAUUCGCGUAGCUCUUAAUCAAUUCCAGAAAACUUGGUGAAUAAUGAUCUUCAAGCACGAAAACUGAUAAAGAAAAAAAAUGUAAAAACGUCGUACGAAAAUAAGUUUCAAACACGUGUCAAAAAACCUAAUAGACUUGUUCAUUGGAAAAACGAGAUUAUCGGGUCAAUCUGUUGUCUCACAUUCCCGUUUUUUAUACAAAUGGACGAUAAUUUUUUUAUUAUCUAUGAAACAAGAAAAUUCCAAAUGAUUUGUUAAUAUUCAAUACUUCAACUUGAUGCCUUCAACCUAUCCACAUUUGGACAAGUCUAUUUCUAUGAGAUGAUGCAUCUUACGGACUGAUGAAAAAUAAGGGAAACGAACUUAUUGUGUAAUUGGUUUUAAACACAAGUUUCGUUCCGCAAAAUUAUUUGUGCAAACGACAUUUCAAGGUCAGUUAUUAUGAUAAUUGAUUUGUCUAUAUUUAAAAACGUAAACUGGAAGUUUUAUUUUUUCACAACAGCAAGUGUUAUCAAUUUUGUUAGUGAUUAAUGCAUUUCAUUUCAUAAAAAAAAUUAUUUUAAUUAUUUUUCAGGGAUAAUGCAUUUCUUAGGGUCGGCGGGAAUAAAAAAGCAUGAAAAGUCAAUUUUAUUUUUAUUCUGGAAAUCGGCAAAAUCGGGUCGGCGGAUCCGUAAACCAACAAAUUAAAAAAUCCUGGCCUUAAAUAAAAUAAAAUUAACUUCAGUUUUUAACCUUUUUUUACAAGUAUUGAGUUAUAACUUUUAUAUCUUUUUUUCAAUCAGUCAUUUUGUCAACUUGUCAACCUGUCGACUUGUCAACCAUAACUUACUUGUUAUUAUAUUAAAUUAUCAACUUAUCAAUCUGUCAACCUGUCGACUUGUCAACCUGUCAACCACUUAUUUCAACCAUAACAUUUUUAAAAUUGUCAACCUGUCGACUUGUCAACCUGUCAACCACUUAUUCCAACCAUAACGUUUUUAAAAUUGUCAACCUGUCGACUUGUCAACCUGUAAAUCACUCAUUUAUUUCAGUUUAAUGUAAAAUUUAAACAGUUUUAACUUUAUUACUCAUGAAUACAUACGCGUAUGAAUUUAUUGCAAAAGCCGGAACUAUAGUACCGUAUAUCCUACUUGAGCCAAAAAUACUGGUAUAAAAAGGAAUAAAUUCAUUGCAAGGUCACUUUUCAAAUCAUCUAUACACAUCAACUUUAUUUCCUAAUGAUAACCUUGCUACCUUUCAUACAUUUUUGUGCAGCAUUUUAAGACAGAGUUGUUUAAUAUUGCACCAGAAACAAUAUGGCUUUAUUUCAUGGAUUUUUUAAUCAAAGAUGGAAUGAUCAAAAAUUAAACUUUCAUGGACAUUUGAUUACAUAUUUUGGCACAUUCAAAAAACAAGUCUUUAUUAAGAUUGAAUUCAUCGAAACACUGAAAUCUUUCUGGUUACGCCUACAUUUACAUAAUACACAAAAAUAAGUAUCCAAUGAAAUAUAAUGAAUCCACAGUAUAUCAAUUAUUUACCAUCCUCAAUAUCUUAGGUCUCAAUUAUGGCACGAUCCUUGUCAGUAUUAUUUGAGUAGCAAUGACCUACAUUUCAAACUUUAAAUUUGAUUAGGCUAUGAAAUUAGGGUCAAUUUGUAGACAUCUUUGGUAAUAAUAUUAAUUUCCAUCCCUACUAUUCAGAAAUUUAGGAGAAAUAUAUUUUUUUUUAAAAAGGCUUAUAUUUUGUCCUCAGAGAAUUUUUAGUAUGCUGUUCACAUUGAAUUUCUAAUGGUUCAUUGACAAAUGUGUUUUAUAUUACAGAGAUAUUGCAACCAUGGAUGAGGACGGCUACUGUUCUGUCGUAGGGAGGAUAACAGAUAUGAUCAUUAGAGGUGGUGAAAAUGUAUAUGCCUUCGAAAUAGAACAGGUUAUAUAUCAUCACCCUUGUGUUAAAGAUGUCCAGGUAGUUCAUUAAACAACUCUGUUAAUAAUAUAACUAGUUACAUCCAUCUUUUAUAAAUAGAUCAUUUGACUAGUUAAGAUCUUAAUAAUCUAAGUUUAUGUAAAUAAAAAAUUGAUUGUAUAUUCUAUCAUCACUUUGCCUCUCUGGCUCACCUGUUCAAAUGGAUAAAUAAGUUGUUGUUUUACAUUUUGUAUCCUUUUAUUUUCUUACAUAAUUUCCCCCUGCACCAAAGUAGGGGUAUCCUGAUUUACCUCUCUGUCUGUGCAACCCUUGCUGUCGCAAAUUAUAUCAAAUUUCUUUCAGGAACUAAAACUUCAGCUUUCCUUAGCUGCAGCUUCAUGAUGCGUUAGAAAAAAAACUUGAUUUCAAGACUUAUUCAUGUUGCUUUUUGACAAAAUGGAAAAAAAAACCCAGAAAAAUACAAAAUUUUAGUUAACACCAAUGAGAUGGAAUAACAUCAAUUAACAGUAAGAUAAGUUUGACAUUACCACAUGACCUUCAACAAUAACAAUGAGGAGGACCCUGGUUGGUCAUUUAUACAGUUUAUACCUGUAUAACAUUUGUUCUAUGUUAAUAAUUAACAGCUGCUACAUAACUCCUAAUCUUUAAAUCGAUAUAAAUGUUUAAUAAUAUGUUGUCUGUUUUAGGUUGUGGGUGUUCCUGUAGAGAGAUUAGGAGAAGAAAUAUAUGCUUUCAUAGAGUUUAAAGAAGGAUAUACAUGCACUGAGGAAAACAUUAAAGAUUACUUCAAAACCAGGGUAAAUAUAUUCUACUUUCAGUAAAUUAUGUCUGUUUCAGAAAAGAUUAUGAAAUUUAUUGAAUCUCCAUUUACUUUUGGAGCUAGAACCCCAAUGUUUAUAGCUAGAUUAGAUGCAGGGGUUUCAUUAUCUUUCAUGUUGACUGGUACUUUCCACGUUUCUAGGUGGUACUUUUCAAUUUAUUCCAUGAAUUAAUCUUAUAUAAAAAUUCCUACAUUUAGGUGGUACUUGUCUAUAGCAUAGGAGGGUAAAAGUACUGUAUACCACCUCCUAAUGAAUGGCCUGAUUAGAUGUUCUAUAAACACAUCUUUUAAUUGAUAAGAGUCAUAAAAGACACAGGCCUGAUGUAUCAACAGUCCAUGUCAUUACUAGAAAAAGUGAAAUGAAAACUUCAAUUUUUGUGCGAUAAAAAAGACAUUCAGAAGCUUAAAUUUAAAACAUUGUUUAUGUUGUAAACAUUGAAACCAAUUUUCUUGACAUUUAUAUCUUAAUGGCCAACCAAAGUCCUGUUCAUUGUUGAAUUUUUUCUUGCCAAAUGAUGAUGAUCUUUGAAAUUACAUUUACUACUAAGUGAAUACAAUAAAGAACAUUAGACAGGAGGAACAAAUUUACAAUUGUUAACAUUACAAAUUGUGUAAAGUUGAAUUUGAUAGUAAUGUUUAUUACAUAUAUUUCAGAUGGCUAGAUUUAAAGUACCUAGGUAUGUGAAAUUUGUUGAAGAAUUUCCUCUGACAGCUACAGGGAAAGUCCAGAAGUUUAAACUGAAAGAAGAAGCAAUGAGAGAUCUUAAUUUAAUUGACUAA
rnacentral:lncRNA from 1 species